AUAGCCUCUCUGCCUUAUGGCUAACAUCAAGUGUAGAAUCUGUUUAUAUCAGUUUAAUAUGUGAUACACCGUCUAUCCAGGGACAAGAUAUUAGCCACAAUAGAUGGAUCUUGAUAGAAUUCGAGAAAAAUGUGGAUCAGGGCCUGAAAUUCUUAAAAAAUCUGGAAAUACUGGACCAGUUCAA